ensembl:lncRNA
AGGGAGAGAUGGAGGUGAGAUGAGCGAGAGAUGGGGGAGAGAUGAGGAGAGAUGGAGGAGAGAUGGGGGACAGAAGGCGGUCAGAUGGAGAGGUGGAGAAGAGAUGGAGGAGAGAUGAGGGAGAGAUGAAGGGAGAGAUGAGGGAGAGAUGAAGGAGAGAUGGAGGAGAGAUGGGGAGAGAUGAGGGAUAGGUGGGGGAGAGAUGGAGGGAGAAAUGGAGGAGAGAUGGGGAGAGAUAGAUGAGAGAUGCGGUAGAGAUGGGGAGAGAUGAGGGAGAGAUGGAGGUGAGAUGAGGGAGAGAUGGGGGAGAGAUGAGGAGAGAUGGAGGAGAGAUGGGGAGAGAAGGCGGUCAGAUGGAGAGGUGGAGAAGAGAUGGAGGAGAGAUGAGGGAGAGAUGGAGGAAGAGAUGGGG